rnacentral:rRNA from 1 species
GACGAACGCUGGCGGCGUGCUUAACACAUGCAAGUCGAACGGAAAGGCCCUGCUUUUGUGGUGUGCUCGAGUGGCGAACGGGUGAGUAACACGUGAGUAACCUGCCCUUGACUUUGGGAUAACUUCAGGAAACUGGGGCUAAUACCGGAUAGGAGCUCCUGCUGCAUGGUGGGGGUUGGAAAGUUUCGGCGGUUGGGGAUGGACUCGCGGCUUAUCAGCUUGUUGGUGGGGUAGUGGCUUACCAAGGCUUUGACGGGUAGCCGGCCUGAGAGGGUGACCGGCCACAUUGGGACUGAGGUACGGCCCAGACGCCUACGGGAGGCAGCAGUGGGGAAUAUUGCACAAUGGGCGGAAGCCUGAUGCAGCAACGCCGCGUGCGGGAUGACGGCCUUCGGGUUGUAAACCGCGUUCGCCUGUGACGAAGCGUGAGUGACGGUAAUGGGUAAAGAAGCACCGGCUAACUACGUG